GACGAACGCUGGUGGCGUGCUUAACACAUGCAAGUCGAACGGAAAGGCCCUUCGGGGUACUCGAGUGGCGAACGGGUGAGUAACACGUGGGUGAUCUGCCCUGCACUUUGGGAUAAGCCUGGGAAACUGGGUCUAAUACCGAAUAGGACCACGGCAUUCAUGUGCUGUGGUGGAAAGCUUUUGCGGUGUGGGAUGGGCCCGCGGCCUAUCAGCUUGUUGGUGGGGUAAUGGCCUACCAAGGCGACGACGGGUAGCCGGCCUGAGAGGGUGACCGGCCACACUGGGACUGAGAUACGGCCCAGACUCCUACGGGAGGCAGCAGUGGGGAAUAUUGCACAAUGGGCGCAAGCCUGAUGCAGCGACGCCGCGUGAGGGAUGACGGCCUUCGGGUUGUAAACCUCUUUCGCCAGGGACGAAGCGCAAGUGACGGUACCUGGAGAAGAAGGACCGGCCAACUACGUGCCAGCAGCCGCCGUAA
rnacentral:rRNA from 1 species